CAGUUAAACAUGGGUCAACAAAAGAAAUCCAUAAAAAAAAGUUUGAAUGACAUAUUAAUGCUUCAAUAUAAUUGUGCGAUGCUACAAAAUUAGGACUCUCGACUUUCCAAUGGUGAAAUAUGAGGACUCAAUUAUCGCCGGCAGGCUAAGGAUGGAGGGACGACCGCGGACAGAUCUUCAGAACGCGGCAAGAGAGGCGCAGUGCAAAUAUGAAUGCUUGUGAAUCGCCGGUAAGUGGCGCCCAAAAUCACAGAAUUUCACUUCACGGCAGCUAUCUUGUUCAAAAUAUUAUUCAAGGAAUUAUAGCUACUAUCUUGUGGAUUAUUUUUAGGAAUCGUUUAGUAAGUUUGUUUUAUUAUAAAGGAUUCCUAAUUUAAUUCAAAAAUUCU
rnacentral:lncRNA from 1 species